rnacentral:rRNA from 1 species
GACGAACGCUGGCGGCGUGCCUAAUACAUGCAAGUCGAGCGGACUUAAAAAGCUUGCUUUUUAAGUUAGCGGCGGACGGGUGAGUAACACGUGGGCAACCUGCCUGUAAGACUGGAAUAACUUCGGGAAACCGGAGCUAAUACCGGAUAAUCCUUUUCUACUCAUGUAGAAAAGCUGAAAGACGGUUUACGCUGUCACUUACAGAUGGGCCCGCGGCGCAUUAGCUAGUUGGUGAGGUAACGGCUCACCAAGGCGACGAUGCGUAGCCGACCUGAGAGGGUGAUCGGCCACACUGGGACUGAGACACGGCCCAGACUCCUACGGGAGGCAGCAGUAGGGAAUCUUCCGCAAUGGACGAAAGUCUGACGGAGCAACGCCGCGUGAGUGAUGAAGGUUUUCGGAUCGUAAAACUCUGUUGUUAGGGAAGAACAAGUACGAGAGUAACUGCUCGUACCUUGACGGUACCUAACCAGAAAGCCACGGCUAACUACGUG